rnacentral:misc_RNA from 1 species
AAGUCGUAACAAGGUAACCGUAGGUGAACCUGCGGUUGGAUCAUUAUUAAAUGAUAUCUAUUGGUUGGUUGAUCUCCUUCGGGAGAACCUGACCAGUAGGUAAUAACCUUUGUGAACCAUAAUGUAUUUUUGCGCCGUUGCCGAACCGCUUGGUAAGGUAUUCGACGCAGCCUCAAGAAUCAACCUUUAAACUUGACUUAUUAUUUAAGAAAUUAAAUUAAACAA